GUUAGGGCUGCAUCUCCUUUAAAAGUUGAUCCACGUCGGCCGCUCCGCUCAGCCCGGUGUCUCGCGGCCCGGUCCCCAUCCCCGCGCAGGCCCGGCCUUUCCGCCGGUCGUCCCCGUCGCAGCCAUGUCCAAGGAGCCGCGGGGUGGGCGGGAGGAGAUCCUGGAGUGCCAGGUGAUGUGGGAGCCUGACAGCAAGAAGAACACGCAGAUGGACCGCUUCCGGGCGGUCGUGGGCGCUGCCUACGGCCUGGCGCUGGAAAAUUAUGAUGACUUAUAUCAUUGGUCAGUUGAGUCAUAUUCGGACUUCUGGGCAGAGUUCUGGAAAUUCAGUGGAAUUGUCUUCUCACACACGUAUGAUGAGGUCGUGGACACGUCCAAAGGGAUUGCGGACGUCCCCGAGUGGUUCAAAGGCAGUCGCCUCAACUACGCAGAAAACCUCCUGCGACACAGGGAAAAUGACGGAGUGGCCCUUUACGUGGCACGGGAAGGCAGGGAGGAGAUCGUGAAGGUGAGUUUUGAAGAGCUGCGGCGACAGGUGGCUUUGUACGCCGCGGCGAUGAGGAAGAUGGGCGUGAGGAGAGGAGACCGGGUCGUCGGUUAUUUACCCAACAGUGCGCACGCCGUGGAGGCCAUGCUGGCGGCCACGAGCAUUGGCGCCAUCUGGAGCUCCACGUCCCCAGACUUCGGCGUGAACGGCGUUCUGGACCGGUUUUCUCAGAUUCAGCCAAAGCUCAUCUUCUCCGUGGAGGCCGUCGUGUACAAUGGCAAGGAGCACGACCACGUGGACAAGCUGCAGCAGGUCGUUAGAGGACUAGCAGACCUGAAAAAAGUGGUGGUGAUUCCUUACGUUUCCUCCAGAGAGAAGAUAGACAUUUCCAAGAUUCCAAAUAGCGUGUUCCUGGAGGACUUCCUGGCCACUGGGCAAGGUGCGCAAGCCCCUCAGCUGGAGUUCGAGCAGCUGCCCUUCAGCCACCCGCUCUUCAUCAUGUUUUCGUCGGGCACGACCGGAGCGCCCAAGUGCAUGGUGCACUCGGUCGGGGGGACCCUCAUCCAGCACCUGAAGGAGCACAUUCUUCACGGCAACAUGACCAGCAGUGACAUCAUCCUGUAUUACACCACGCUGCAGGCUUUCCUUCUAUCCCCCUCCACCAUCGUGAACAGUGAGUGGUGCUGGGUCCCCGCCAGGCUCUGUCAGGCUCCGGCCCUUUCAGACAGGAAGCCCAGCCCUGGGGCGUUAAUGGAGCAGCGUUUUGAAUUGCAGAACCCCACCCCCGGGGCAGCCACAGCUGCGCUGACCUCCAACUCAGCUGCCUCCCUGGGACACGGUCGGCUGGAUGAUGUGGAACUGGAUGGUGUCUGCUCUCGCCACGGGGGCGGCCGUGGUCCUAUACGACGGCUCCCCGCUGGUGCCCACCCCCAAUGUGCUCUGGGACCUGGUCGACAGGAUCGGCAUCACCAUCCUUGGAACGGGUGCGAAGUGGCUGUCAGUGCUGGAAGAGAAAGACGUGAAGCCAGUGGAAACUCACAGUCUGCAGACGCUGCGCACGAUCCUGUCCACCGGCUCCCCCCUGAGCGCCCAGAGCUACGACUAUGUCUACAGGUGCGUCAAGAGCAGCGUCCUCCUGGGCUCCAUCUCAGGUGGCACCGACAUCAUGUCUUGCUUCGUGGGCCAGAAUCCUUCAAUUCCUGUGUACAAAGGGGAAAUUCAGGCCCGGAACCUGGGCAUGGCCGUGGAGGUGUGGAACGAGGAAGGAAAGGCAGUCUGGGGGGAGAGCGGUGAACUGGUGUGUACCAAGCCGCUCCCCUGUCAGCCCACGCACUUUUGGAACGACGAGAACGGCAGCAAGUACCGGAAGGCGUAUUUCUCCAAAUUCCCAGGUGUCUGGGUGCACGGCGACUACUGCAGAAUCAACCCCAAGACCAGGGGCGUCAUCAUGCUGGGCCGAAGCGACAGCACACUCAACCCCAACGGAGUGCGAUUCGGCAGCUCGGAAAUCUAUAACAUCGUGGAGGCCUUCAAGGAGGUCCUGGACAGCCUGUGUGUCCCCCAGUACAACAAGGACGGGCAGGAGAGGGUGAUCCUCUUCCUGAAGAUGGCUUCCGGCCACACCUUCCGGCCCGACCUGGUGAAGAGGAUCUGCAGCGCCAUCCGCCUGGGCCUGUCCGCCCGGCACGUGCCCAGCCUCGUCCUGGAGACCCAGGGCAUCCCGUACACCCUCAACGGCAAGAAAGUGGAAAUGGCCGUGAAGCAGAUCAUCGCUGGGAAAACCGUGGAGCACCACAAAGCCUUCUCGAACCCCGAGACCCUGGAUUUGUACCGGGACGUCCCCGAGCUGCAGGACUUUUGAACCAGGCCAGCUGGCACGUCCCUGAGCCACACACGUCUGUACUGUCACUUCUGUGCGUUCAAGAAGUUA